rnacentral:lncRNA from 1 species
CUGAUAUUUCCAGCUACUGCAGGACACUUGUCUCCUAAAGAGGAUUUGAACCAAGAAUCAAACAGCCAAAUGUCCAAAUUGUGUCAAGUAGAUAACAAAUGAAGUGGGAAACAAUUUGCCCAUCUCUCUGUGAAGUGGAGUCCCAGCUUCUAAAUGGCCGAUGUUCAUAGCUGAUGAAGGUGGCCUGGCCAUGCCACGUGGGAGAAGAGAG